GGUUCUGCAGUUCCCCGUGGGCGGUGUCAACGGGCUGCUCAGCAAGGGCAACGAUGCCGAGAGGGUCGGGGGCUGCACGCUAGCGUACCUGCCGGCGGUUCUGGAGUACCUGGCCUCCGACACCCUGGAGUUGGCGGGCAACGCCGUCGGAACAAGAAGAAGACCCGCAUCAUCCCGCGCCACCUGCAGCUGGCCAUCCGCAACGACAAGGAGCUCGACAAGCUGCUGGCCCGAGUGACAAUGGCUUAGGGUGACGUUUUGCCCAACAUCCAAGCUGUGCUGCUGUCCCAAAGGAUUGGGAGCCACUACCACAAAGUCCAGUAUGAAUAAC
rnacentral:lncRNA from 1 species